rnacentral:rRNA from 1 species
AUGCACCCUUGCCCGCCGCUAGGGUUUCGGGCGCCUCUCGUGUUCUUGCCAGAAUCCACCACAAUCGGCGAUGGCGAGGCCGGAGCUUGCGGGAUCCGUCUGCGGUGUUGCCCAGGUAGGCCCUUCCCCUCCUUCCUUGCUUGGGUCCACCCUUUCCUCCUCACCUCACCUUCUCCUCCUAUCCGUCCCUUUGCUGCAGGUCACCAUGGUGCAGAGACGACAAUGAUGGCAAGAGGGCACAGACCUUGCCCUGAUCGAGGAGGAGGAGGGGCGCACCUAGAUGCCAGCCCUGCUCUGCUCGAUGAGGAGGGGUGGGAGGGGUCUACUCCUAGGGCGACCAAGAGGUCCUGCUCGAGCUCAAGCAUGGCCAUGAUGACCCACCACGGCAGCGACGGUGCUGCUGCACUUGUGCUAGUCAGUGAAGCUAAGAACCUUGGCCUUCAAGUUCUUGCAAGAACCAAAGGUUAUGCUGAUGCUGCUCAGGGGUGA